AACGCAACUUGCGCCCUUUGGUAUUCCGAAGGGCAUGCCUGUUUGAGUGUCAUAUAAAUCUCACCUCUACUGUUUUUCAUUGAACAUGUGGAUUGGUGCUUUGGGCGUCUGCCGUUUACUCUGGCUCGCCUUAAAUGUCUAAGUGGAAUGCGUAAUAAGUCUUCGCACCUCUCCACUCUAAUACAACUUUUAUAUUCUGACCUCAAAUCAGGUAGGACUACCCGCUGAACUUAA
rnacentral:misc_RNA from 1 species